AACCCUACUAAAAAAUAUGGCGAUAGGAUUUUUUAUUUUCUAUACUAGAGGGUAUGAGAUUUGCUAAAUAAGUGAGAGACACGAUUAGACAAAAGACCACAUCUAAUCGUGCAUGUCAUCAUGAGUAGUCUACUCAUAUAUUAUUCUUAUUUUAUAAAUUCAUUUGUAUCUUCACUUAUACUACAUGACAUACUUGAUGUCAACAAGUUGACUGAAUCAAACUACGUAGACUGGUUGAGAAAUCUGAGAUUAUUUUUCAUUCAGAAGAAAGUCUCCUAUAUUCUUGAUGCUCUUGAUAUCGAUCUGAUCAAGGAUGAUGCUAUAGAGGAGUAUGGAGCUGCUUAUAAAAUGUGGUA
rnacentral:lncRNA from 1 species